rnacentral:lncRNA from 1 species
GGAAAUUAUCACAACUCUAUUUUAUAUAGAUUCAGAGUCUGAAUUUAUUUUUUAAAAAGAAUCAGUGAGAGAAGUAAGAAUAAAGGCAAAUGAAAGAGGAGGAGGAGGAGCUGUUCCACAUGAAGAGAGGAUGUGUUAUGAAAACCUUCAGAGUCAGGCAGAAGUGAAGGGGAAGGAACGAGAGCUUUUGGAGAGACAUGAAAGACAGAAACAGAUCUAGAGAAAGUUUCCAUGCAGGAAGGAAGGAAGGAAGACGUGCUGGUGAGCAGUUUCCUGUUCAACUUCCAUUCUAUUUUUAGAGAAGCCCUUAAUGCUGACCAUCUCAAAGGAAACAACUGAAAAGAUAGGAAAACCAACAACAUGGCAAUAAGAAGAAAGAAGUACAAAAAAAACCUCCAGAAUUUCUUUUCCAUCUGCACAUGCACAGAACAUAAUAUCACAAAAGAAUCAAGGAUAAGAUUCAUGAAAAUAAAGUCACAAAGGUAUCACAGAAC